AUUGAACACUGGCGGCAUGCUUUACACAUGCAAGUCGAACGGUAACAGGCCGCAAGGUGCUGACGAGUGGCGAACGGGUGAGUAAUGCAUCGGAACGUGCCCAGUCGUGGGGGAUAACGCAGCGAAAGCUGUGCUAAUACCGCAUACGAUCUGUGGAUGAAAGCGGGGGACCGUAAGGCCUCGCGCGAUUGGAGCGGCCGAUGUCAGAUUAGGUAGUUGGUGGGGUAAAGGCUCACCAAGCCAACGAUCUGUAGCUGGUCUGAGAGGACGACCAGCCACACUGGGACUGAGACACGGCCCAGACUCCUACGGGAGGCAGCAGUGGGGAAUUUUGGACAAUGGGCGCAAGCCUGAUCCAGCAAUGCCGCGUGCAGGAAGAAGGCCUUCGGGUUGUAAACUGCUUUUGUACGGAGCGAAAAGGCUCCCUCUAAUACAGGGGGCUCAUGACGGUACCGUAAGAAUAAGCACCGGCUAACUACGUGCCAGCAGCCGCGGUAAAAC
rnacentral:rRNA from 1 species